GUAGGGAGCGAGCGUUAUCCGGAUUCAUUGGGCGUAAAGAGCGCGUAGGCGGCCUCUCAAGCGGGAUCUCUAAUCCGAGGGCUCAACCCCCGGCCGGAUCCCGAACUGGGAGGCUCGAGUUCGGUAGAGGCAGGCGGAAUUCCCGGUGUAGCGGUGGAAUGCGCAGAUAUCGGGAAGAACACCGAUGGCGAAGGCAGCCUGCUGGGCCGCAACUGACGCUGAGGCGCGAAAGCUAGGGGAGCGAACAGGAUUAGAUACCCUGGUAGUCCUAGCCGUAAACGAUGGAUACUAGGUGUGGGGGGCUCCGCCCUCCGUGCCGCAGCCAACGCAUUAAGUAUCCCGCCUGGGGAGUACGGCCGCAAGGCUA
rnacentral:rRNA from 1 species